GUGCGUCGCGUCCCCGAGCGUGUCGCGGCGGGCCCGGCACCGGCCCCGCUCCAGCGCCCGCCCCCGGCCCGCGCCCCGGGCCCCGCGCGCAUACCUGGCGAGGCCACGAGGGGAUUCUGCGGGCCGAGCCCCGCCUGGGCUGCGCCGCCGCAGGCGGGAGAGGCUGAGGAUUCUUUUGGGAAGCCCCUCCGCCGGCUGUAACCCCAGGGCCGUGCCACCCUCCUGAUCACCGCAAGCAUGGACCCCCCAGCACGCUGCGGGUGGGACAGGCAGGGCCCCUGUGGGGUGGCUUGACUGGCCUGGAGUUGGGGACGAAGUCCCCGGGCUUGGUCCCCCGAGGGCUUGGUUGGGCGUCCCGGGGUAGGUGGCUGCCGCGGCGAUGUGGGCGGCUUGCGUGUGGCCGAUCGGGGUCGCUGCUGAGCCCCGGAGAGCGGAGGGUCCAGGCUAGGCUGGGGGAGCGAGAGGCGAGGGCGGAGCCGCGGAGGUGUGGGCGGCUUUCGUGGUCCGAGAGGCCCCAGGUUCCCGGCAGGGCGGGGAAGGCUGGGGCGGGGCCAGAGCCGGAGCCGCGAAGCCGCGAUGGAGAGGGCCUGGAGGGUGCGCCAGGAGCCGGCGUCAGGGCCUGCCUCCAUCUCCUCCAACCCCCACCCCAUUUAUUCCUGUAACAAAUCCCUACCGGGAGCUGGCACAGCAGCUGUGCGCUGGGGACACACGAGAUGCUCACCCUCCCUGCCCUCCAGGAGCUUGGACUCAGCUGAGGUCUGCAGGGGCCAGCAGGAGCAGGGCCGAGGGCCCUGGUGGGAAGGUCGUGGCCCACUAGGGAAGGCUGGGCCCGGGGGGUCAGGUGGAGGGCAGGCUGAGCUGCGAGCUGUGUCUUCAGCCUACAGCAAGGCCACCACUCCCAGCGCCUGGCCUCCUCGCUCCCGAAAGCUCAGCUCAGCCUACAUGUGCCGACCCCUCUGUCCCCCAGGCCCAGGUUGGGCACUGGUCAGGACGGUGCUCCCAGAGGGACCCAGUAACAGGAGGAGCUAGGGUGAGAGCAUGAGGGUGGGGGGAGCGGCAGAGAGGAGGGAGAGGCAGGAGGUGCUCAGGGCAGGAGUGUCUGGAGUGAGGAGGGAGAGGCAGGAGGUGCUCAGGGCAGGAGUGUCUCGAGUGGGUCUGGACAGGAACAGGAAGGGCAUUCCAGGCAGAGGGGCCCAAAGAAGCAAAGGUGCACCAGGGAGAAAUGCCCGCUGUGCUCCACCACAGUGGAGGUGCAAACCUCAGCAUGGAAGAUGAGGCUGGAGGGAGGGGCCUGGGCUGGAACAUGGCCAGGAUGGCAGUGGGGAGCCAUUGGAGAUGUUUGAGCCGGGGAGUGACAGGGUCAGAUUCGAGUUUUGGAAAGAUAACAUCUUGAGCCAUUAAACAGAUUUCUAGGAUUUCAGGUUUAUUUAUUUAUUUAUUUAGAGACUCACUUCACUCUGUUACCCAGGCUGUAGUGCAGUGGUGCGAUCUCUGCUCACUGCAAUCACUCAAGGCCAAGUGAUUCUCAUGCCUCAGCCUCCUGAGUAGCUGGGACUACAGGCGUGCACCACCAUGCCCAGCUAAUUUUUGUAUUUUUAGUAGAGGCGGGGUUUCGCCAUGUUGGCCAGGCUGGUCUCGAAUUCCUGGCUGGGAUUACAGGCGUGAGCCACCACGCCCUGCUGGAUUUUGGAUUCUUGAUACGUAUCAUCAACCACUCUCCAGAGUUUGGCCAGCUUCACGCUCCAUCAGUGGUCUCACCAUAGACCUUCUAAUCUUGAUUGUGUUGGCUGGUGUCUAUUUUCUAAUGGUGUUUGGUUUUGGAACCUGCAUUUCUUUGAAAAAGAGUGAGCAUGUGCAUUUUCCCAGAUGCCUGGUAUCCAACUGCACUUCUCCAUGUGUGCAUUGUCCCCUGAGCUGGCAAGAAGAUCCUACUAGUUGGUCUGCAUGCCAUGCCAGCUCGGCCUUGCACCCUGGGGGCCCAGGUAACUAGCUCUCACCAACAGAAAGAGAUGUGAUGGACAUCACCUGAGGCCAGACCCUAAGACCUCUGUGUGCCCCCUCCGUGUCUCCUGUCUGCAGCUGUUGUCCACACCAAGGGUGGCCUACAGAGGGAAGUGAGGACCUUGGGACUUCCUCCAGGACAGCCCUCGCUGUCCAAAUCUCCACCUGCUGCAGAGCUGCCUCCAGUCAAGCCCUUGUUUCCAGCUUUCUGUGCCCUAAAUAAACUUCUGCUGGGAUUGAGCCAUCAGCAUUCUGUGGUGGGCGUCGCUGCUGCGAGGUUGCCCUCGUGCACACAAGCUCCUCACAGGACUUCCAGGAUGAUAUGGAAGAGUGACUGAGAGCAGCCGCCCGGUGCUUCCCAACCUUAGAGGGAGGUCACGGGCAGUCUCCCUGCGAUGCUGGCCACAGGGUCUCGCUGUGUCGCCCAGGCUGGAGGGCAGUGGUGUGAUCUGGACUCACUGCAGCCUCGACCUGUUGGGCUCAAGUGAUCCUCUCACGUCAGCCUCCAAGUAGCCAAGACCACAGGCAGGCGUCACCAUGCCCAGCCCCCAUGAUGACUUUACUUUUCUUCUUGAACCUGGUGAAUUUCUGUGUUAACAUGUCUGAUUUGAACCCUUCUGAUAUUCCUGAGAUAAACUUUAUGUGACCUUGGUAUUCUGUUGGAUUUUGGUUAGCUGAUACUUCAAGAUUUUUAUAAAACUGGGUUGCAAUU
rnacentral:lncRNA from 1 species